rnacentral:rRNA from 1 species
GAUGAACGCUGGCGGCGUGCCUAAUACAUGCAAGUCGAGCGAACGGACGAGAAGCUUGCUUUUCUGAUGUUAGCGGCGGACGGGUGAGUAACACGUGGAUAACCUACCUAUAAGACUGGGAUAACUUCGGGAAACCGGAGCUAAUACCGGAUAAUAUUUUGAACCGCAUGGUUCAAAAGUGAAAGACGGUCUUGCUGUCACUUAUAGAUGGAUCCGCGCUGCAUUAGCUAGUUGGUAAGGUAACGGCUUACCAAGGCAACGAUGCAUAGCCGACCUGAGAGGGUGAUCGGCCACACUGGAACUGAGACACGGUCCAGGCUCCUACGGGAGGCAGCAGUAGGGAAUCUUCCGCAAUGGGCGAAAGCCUGACGGAGCAACGCCGCGUGAGUGAUGAAGGUCUUCGGAUCGUAAAACUCUGUUAUUAGGGAAGAACAUAUGUGUAAGUAACUGUGCACAUCUUGACGGUACCUAAUCAGAAAGCCACGGCUAACUACGUGCCAGCAGCCGCGGUAAUACGUAGGUGGCAAGCGUUAUCCGGAAUUAUUGGGCGUAAAGCGCGCGUAGGCGGUUUUUUAAGUCUGAUGUGAAAGCCCACGGCUCAACCGUGGAGGGUCAUUGGAAACUGGAAAACUUGAGUGCAGAAGAGGAAAGUGGAAUUCCAUGUGUAGCGGUGAAAUGCGCAGAGAUGUGGAGGAACACCAGUGGCGAAGGCGACUUUCUGGUCUGUAACUGACGCUGAUGUGCGAAAGCGUGGGGAUCAAACAGGAUUAGAUACCCUGGUAGUCCACGCCGUAAACGAUGAGUGCUAAGUGUUAGGGGGUUUCCGCCCCUUAGUGCUGCAGCUAACGCAUUAAGCACUCCGCCUGGGGAGUACGACCGCAAGGUUGAAACUCAAAGGAAUUGACGGGGGCCCGCACAAGCGGUGGAGCAUGUGGUUUAAUUCGAAGCAACGCGAAGAACCUUACCAAAUCUUGACAUCCUUUGACAACUCUAGAGAUAGAGCCUUCCCCUUCGGGGGACAAAGUGACAGGUGGUGCAUGGUUGUCGUCAGCUCGUGUCGUGAGAUGUUGGGUUAAGUCCCGCAACGAGCGCAACCCUUAAGCUUAGUUGCCAUCAUUAAGUUGGGCACUCUAAGUUGACUGCCGGUGACAAACCGGAGGAAGGUGGGGAUGACGUCAAAUCAUCAUGCCCCUUAUGAUUUGGGCUACACACGUGCUACAAUGGACAAUACAAAGGGCAGCGAAACCGCGAGGUCAAGCAAAUCCCAUAAAGUUGUUCUCAGUUCGGAUUGUAGUCUGCAACUCGACUACAUGAAGCUGGAAUCGCUAGUAAUCGUAGAUCAGCAUGCUACGGUGAAUACGUUCCCGGGUCU